AAUCGAGAUAGAUUGGCCCAUUUUUAACGAGCCCGAGCCUCUUUCUAAAUACACUGCUUCCGAGUCGUCUCCGUCUCUUCGCCUUCAAGAUCAUCGCUCCGACUUCUGCAAUCCAACAGCUUCCAUCGAACAACUAUAUACGACCUCCAUACAACAAAUUGCAUUACAAAGAGCUCAAAAAAACUCAAAAGAGCUAGACGUCGUACCGCUGCAGUGGCCGAUUAUCGGAAAAAACUCAAAUAGCUCGAGUCCCGAGUUCGAACAGGUCUCCUUGGCGUCUCAAUCUGGGGGCAUCGGAUUUAAUUGAAAUUUGUUUACUUUAAGCUCUCGAUUCUAAGGUUAGGUACUGUCUCAGCUCUUUGAACGAUGAUUAACAACAAAGAGGGAUUUGUGGUCUUGCAGCUAGGGAUAACUUGAGAGGAUCUAAAAAGGAAUUCAACAAAACUGAAGAUGAUCUCAAGUCUCUCCAAAGUGUUGGUCAGAUCAUCGGAGAAGUCCUUCGACCUCUCGAUAAUGAAAGAUUGAUUGUCAAAGCUAGCAGCGGUCCUCGGUAUGUGGUAGGCUGCCGUAGCAAAGUGGAUAAGGAGAAGCUGAUCUCAGCAACUCGAGUUGUUCUUGAUAUGACCACACUAACAAUUAUGAGAGCCCUUCCCCGAGAAGUAAGAUCCUUGCAUCUGAUCCUCUCCAGCAGCCAUUUUCACCCCUGACAUCCCUUCCAAUCAUCCUAGCACAAGAGAAACCAAGAAGAAAAACAACAUCAAUGUCAUGCAUAUAUAAAGGAAGAGAAAGAAUUAUGAGUUAUGAGACAGCUCAGUCAUUGUAGAGAACUAUAAUUUGCUCCAAUAAUAAACAGUGGUCAACAGAUAUUGUUUGAGCUCUUGGCCUAGGUGGAAUUGCCGUAGGAAUGAUAAAAGAAAAAAUACUUGGUUUAGGCAAGUAUAUGCUAUUCAAAGAAAUACAUCUUUUUGAUUCCUCUGAGCCAUUUUGAAGCUUGAAGGCGUUUACUCAGCAUUUGAGUAUAUAUGUGGGUGAUGCUGAAGAAGUAUCACAACACUAUAAAUUGAUGUCAAGACAUACAAGAGAUUGUUUGGGAGUGUCCUUUAGAUGUUACGCCUACAUAUCCGUUUCAGGUUAAGAGUAUGUGCAGUUGUCUGAUUGUCUCAUUGAAACGCUUAACAAAGAUGAAGUGUACUGAUUAGCUGUUGCAACUGCAAAUUCCUCCCUGAACAAGCCUCCUGCUACUCAUCAUUACAGUGCCUUUCAAACCCACACACCAUCAAUGGCCACCUUGAACCUUAUGUUCUCUGACUUGAAAGCUGGUUGUUGUGCCAACACGGUCGAAGCCUGACUUCUUAGGUUCGGUGCGGCCUGUAAUGUGAAGAAAGGGAGAGAGCUCAUAAGACCGACAUGCUGUAUCGUCAUCAUUUCAUCAUUAGUUAACUAUCAUAAUGGUCCAGUUUUUGGUUGGGUCACAAAACCUUUGAUGGGUCUCACGUUUGGUGGGUCACUCCCAACUAAAUUUUGUAAAUUUUUUUUAUUCACAGCAACUUUUGUUUCAUGGUCGAAAGCUCAAAUCCACGUCAGUCAGUUGCCUCCGAUGGGUCUUCUUCAUCUCCUUCUAUUGUAUUCUUUUCUAUAUUGUUUCUAUAUUGUAAAAUACAUGUAUUAGCCUACCACUUCUUCUCUGAUUCAAACUGUUUUCACAAAUCAAAUUCACCAGUUUUGUAUAUUAUAAGUUAGCUGUUUUUUUUGUUUUUCGUCUAGAAAUUUGAGUUCAUUCAUGUUCAUGUUUAUUUAUAAAGAUCUAUAAUAUUUUUUUUUCUACG